rnacentral:lncRNA from 1 species
GGAGCAGAGUCACCUACUUGCCACCUUCUUCCUCCCAGCUGGACUUUCAGCAUGAGAAGCUGUCUUGGAAGCACCAAGCCUGACAGUGAGUUCAGAAACCAGGACUUGAAAGAGAGCCCUGCCGCUACUCGGGGAGGGUUUGCUAAAAGGUAGUGAAUUCGUUUCUUCCUCUCCUUUCCUUUCUUUCCUUCCUUCCUUUCUUACCAGUGGUUCUAAAAUCACUUGGAAGACUUGCUAGGCAUGCAAAUUUCUAGACCUUAUCCUGUACCUAUCAAAUUAUAUCUCUGGGUGUGAGGCGUGGGAAUCUGCAUUUUCCAAGCAAAUUAUUCACACUUUGAGAAACACUGCUUUGUUAUCGCCAAACUAGUUCCUUACAUCCAAAUGGUGCUUGUUUCUAGGCUAAAAUUGUAGUCUCAGGGGCAGUAAAGCUUAAUAGGGCUAGCCAAUUCAUGUGCUAUUAUUAGUAUUAUUAUUUUGUCUUUUUAGGGCCACACCUGCAGCAUACAGAGGUUCUCAGGCUAGGUGUCUAAUUGGAGCUGUAGCUGCCAGCCUAGGCCACAGCCACAGCAAGGCCAGAUCUGAGUCUUGUCUGCGACCUAUACCACAGAUCACGGCCGCACUGGAUCCUUAACCCACUGAGCAAGGCCAGGAAUCGAACCCAUGUCCUCAUGGACACUAGUCAGGUUCGUUAACCACUGAGCCACUAUGGGAACUACCCCCCGCCCCCCGUGGCUUAUGGAAGUUCCUGGGCGAUGGAUAGAAUCUGAGCCACAGCUGCGACCUGUGCCACAGCUGCAAUAAUGCUGGGUUUUUAACCCCUGGGCCUGGCUGGGGUUAAAACCUCAGCCACUGCAGAGACAACGCCAGAUCCUUAACCUGCUGCAUCACAGCAGGAGCUUCUAAUGUAUGUAUUCUUUCAAACAAUCCAUGCCAGAUCCUGAACUAGGUGCUAGGGAUACAAAGAUGAGUAAAACUAGACAUGGUCUUCUUUCUGGUGGAGCUUAGGGUCUAGUGGAGGAUACAGGCAUUGACCAGGGACUCACAAAUAUAAAAUUAAAUGCAUAGCAUGGCGUGUAUGCUAUAACGGGAAAACUUGUGAUGUACUAAAAAUGUGUUAGAGGGACUUGACUUAGUAUAGGGAGUUAUGUACCCAGCGAAAGUGUCCUUUGAAAUAAGAUCUAAAAAAGAUAAGUGGAGUCAAUUAAGCUAAGUCAGAUAGGGAGCAGUAGAGGGGGUAAGAAAGGCAGAAUUUUCUGGACAAAGAAUAUGAUAUUGCAAAAGUCCUAUAAUGAGAGACUUAGGCAAGUGUUUUGGGGCAAGAGGAAGCAGAGUUUGAGAUGCAGCCUGGGAGGAAACAAGGGGCCAGCCCAUGAGAGUCUUUGAAAGUCGUGUUGGGAGUCCAUUUAUAUCUUAAGAACAAUGGGAUUUCAUUUUGAGUUGAAAUUAGAUAACAUGGUCAAUUUUACAUUUUGAAAAGGUCACUCUGGCUGCUGUGGAGAAAGAUUGAGGGCAGCAACCCUGGAAGUGUUGUCAUCCUUCUUAUUUUAUUGGUAAGGAAGUGAGCCUUGGAGUUCUUGUCAUGGCUCAGUGGAAACGAAUCUGACUAGCAUCCAUGAGGACGGAGAUUCCAUCCCUGGCCUCGCUCAGUGGGUUAAAGACCUGGCAUUGCUGUGAGCUGUGGUGUAGGUUGCAGGUGCAGUUUGGAUCUGAUGUGGCUGUGGCUGUGGCAAAGGCCGAUGGCUACAGCUCUAAUUCAACCCCUAGCCUGGGAACCUCCAUAUACCACUGGGGCAGCUCUGAAAAGCAUAAAAAAAAAAAAAAAAAAAAAAAAAAAA